AACUAACACAGAUGUUCAGAAGUGGGUCACGAGGCAGCCACGUGAGAGGCCUCUCCAGGCUCAGGGACAGCGGGACCCUCUGGGGCUCGGCGAUGCGUGACCCCCUCUUGGACCCCAUGCGUAGACGGGCCCGGCGUGGGUCUACAUGAGCCUGGUGUGGCCCAGCCCCCAGCUCUCAGCAAAGAGGACUUGGGGCGACUCGGGUUUACUUUCAAUGGUCAUUGAGCGGAGCCCGGAUGAAGCCUCCUAAGAACAAAGGGUGCACCUGCCAUUUAGGAAAUUCUUGGGUCUGAAUCUUCAUCUCAAUCAUUCCAUUUUACAUUAUCGUCCCUAAAUUUUUUUUCUAAAAUGAAUAACCAAUAGCCUGGAGCUUGUAGGUCACUCAAGAGGAAUUAUUUUAUUUGCUGAACAGAGAUUAGUUAAAAGUAAUCAGGAAAAUUUUAUACUUUCAUCCAAAACUGUUAUGAUAAAAUGUCAUAGUUAUAGCAUAAAUAUAAAUGUCAUCUUUACCCAUAAAUUCCCUUUACCUACAUGGUCGUCCCGUUCUCUUGGAGUCACUCUACCCACACGGUUAAAGAAUACCCCAGACUCUUCCUCACGACGAAGCCCAACAGGUAGGCGGGGAUGUGCACAGCCCAGCUCACGGGGCAGUGACUUAAGAGGUGCAGGGGAGAAGCCUCUUGGCCUCAAGCAGCACGAGAGAUGUGGGGCCCCUGUGAAACGGGCAGAUUCAAGCACAUUUCAGCACUUUCUGAUGGAGAGGCCCUACGAAAAUCACUCCUUUUCCUGCUUUUACUCAAAUCGUGGGAAGGUGUGCAAACCGGUUGGUUAAUAUAGAGGGACUUUUGUCCACAUCUAGAAAACUGGGAAAAUACUAGUCUUCCGAUGUGGCAACGCUCUUCUGAAAGUUUGCCAGCACCCAGGAGAAGAUGGGCAUCACGGUUAUUCAUAGCAACACCACGAAGAAGCCAAAGGAAACAAGCGAGCUCGCGCUGGGACUGGGCGCCCACGUGGUGGUGCGUCCGAGGAGGUGCCAUCUAAGGGGCGAGCAAGCAUUCAGGCGCCGAGGUGGGGAGUCUGGCGGGGUAGGGACAGCCGGUGUGCAGCACCGGCCUUUGUGUAACAAGGGAGCAUGAGGGACUCGUUUGCCCGCGUUCUUGCACUGAUUAAAGAAUCCUCAAAAAGGAUGCUCCAGAAACUAAUAGAAAGUGUGGCCUCUGGGCUGGAAGUGGGGUUGGUGGUGCAGGGAGAAGGCAGGAAACCAGAGGGAGCAACCCUCUGCACUGUCAGAUUAUUUUGAUUUUCGAGCUGGGUGAAUUACUACCUACGUAAACGAGAAAUUAAAGAA